UGGACUGUGGCUGAGUGGUUUAAGCACCAAACUGUUAAUUUGGGUAACGUAGGUUCGAAUCCUAUCGGUCCAG
rnacentral:tRNA from 1 species